rnacentral:lncRNA from 1 species
CAGUGCCUGACGCAUGCUAGGCACAACCCCAGCCUGGACAAAAUCAUUAUUUAUUUAUUUAUUUAUUAAUAUUUAUUUUUUAGUUUUAGGUGGCACAAUAUUUUUAUCUUAUUUUUAUGUGGUGCUGAGGAUCAAACCCAGUACCUCGCGUAUGCCAGGCGAGCACGCUACCACUUGAGCCACAUCCCCAGCCCAACAAAAUCAUUUUAAAGUGAAAAAUUCAGUGGCAUUUACUACGUUUAUGAUGUUGUGCAACCCGUACCUCUAUCUAGUUCCAAAAUAUUUUCUUCACCCUAUAAGGAAACUCUAUACCUCAUUAAGCAGUUACUCUCCAUUUACCAUUUUCACCAGCCUCUGGUAACCACUAGUGGAUUUUCUGCCUGUAUGGAUUAUGGAUUUGCCUAUUCUGUAUAUUCCCUGUUACUAGAAUCAUACAAUAUUUAACCAUUUGUACAUACCUUCUAAUGUUUUUGAGGUUCAUCCAUGUUGUAGCAUGUAUCAAUUUCACAGUCCUUUUUGUGGCUAAAUAAUAUUCUACUGUAUGUAUAGACUGCAGUUUAUCCAUUUAUACAUCAAUGUACAUUUGGACUGUUUUCUUCUUGACUAUUGUGAAUUAGGUUGCUAUGAUUGUGUACCUGUUUUCAGUACUUUUGGGUACAUAACUUAGGAGUGAAAUUGCGGGAUCAUAUAGUAAUUCUGUGUUUAACUCUCAGAGGGAACUGCAAAACUGUAUAAACUGUAUUCCACCACACCUGAACCAUUUUAUAUUCCCACCAGCCAUGUAAGAGGGAUUCUAUUUUCUCUAACUCAGGGCCAACACUUGAUAUUUUGUUUUUGUUUUAAUCAUAUUCAUCCUAAUGGGUGAAAUAAUGAUACCUCAUUGUGAUUUUAAUUUGCGUUUCCUUAAUGACUAAUAUGUUGUUUUUUUCAUAUGUUUGUUAGCCAUUUGUAUAUAUUCUUUGAAAAAAUGCCUACUCAAGCUCUAACUAUUCUC